rnacentral:rRNA from 1 species
CAGGCUAGUUCACUCGUGUCGUGAGAUGUUGGGUUAAGUCCCGCAACGAGCGCAACCCUUUUCCUUAUUUGCCAGCGGGUUAAGCCGGGAACUUUAAGGAUACUGCCAGUGACAAACUGGAGGAAGGCGGGGACGACGUCAAGUCAUCAUGGCCCUUACGACCAGGGCUACACACGUGCUACAAUGGUCGGUACAAAGGGUUGCUACCUAGCGAUAGGAUGCUAAUCUCAAAAAGCCGAUCGUAGUCCGGAUUGGAGUCUGCAACUCGACUCCAUGAAGUCGGAAUCGCUAGUAAUCGCGGAUCAGAAUGCCGCGGUGAAUACGUUCCCGGGCCUUGUACACACCGCCCGUCACACCAUGGGAAUUUGUUGCACCAGAAGUAGGUAGUCUAACCGCAAGGAGGACGCUUACUCU